AUACGGAGGGUGCAAGCGUUACUCGGAUUCACUGGGCGUAAAGCGCGCGCAGGCGGCUAUUUAAGUUGGAUGUGAAAGCCUACGGCUCAACCGUAGAACUGCAUCCAAAACUAUUUAGCUAGAGUGGGGGAGAGAAGAUGGAAUUAGUUGUGUAGGGGUAAAAUCCGUAGAGAUAACUAGGAAUACCAAAAGCGAAGGCAAUCUUCUGGAACACUACUGACGCUGAGGCGCGAAAGCGUGGGGAGCAAACAGGAUUAGAAACCCGAGUAGUCC
rnacentral:rRNA from 1 species